rnacentral:lncRNA from 1 species
AGGAGGAGGUGCCCUGUGAUGUGGGGAGUGAUGGUGGGCCCUCACCACAAGUCUACUUUAAGCAUCCUAGGCGUGUUGGAGUUUACAAGUUUCAGAGCUUUCCAGUUGUGGUCAAUUAAAACAAACAAACAAACCACAAAAACUCAAGACCCUUAAAUAGCGAAAGCUUUACAAUGCUUCCCAGUGAUGUGGAAAAUGACCAUGAGUGUCUUUUGUGUGACUUGGAGGUUUACUGGUCAUUUCAUGACUUAGUAUUUCAAAGAGUCAGAGAAUUUAAGGAGAAGGUACUACAGGCUUGCCAUGUGUAUAUUUCUUUAGUGAAGUAACUGUUUAGGUUUUUUGCCCAUUUUUAAAUCAGGUUGUUUGUUUUCUUUUCUUUAUGGCCUAUACAUACUCUGUUUUCAUGAAUAGUGCAUGGGUGUGCAUAAGCUUGUUUUUUAAAAAAAAUUUUAGAGACAGGGUCUUGCUCUGUCACCCAGACUGGAGUACAUUGGCAUGAUCAUAGCUCACUGCAGCCUUGAACUCCUGGGCUUAAGUGGUCCUUCUGCCUCAGCCUCUCGAGUAGCUGG